rnacentral:rRNA from 1 species
GACGAACGCUGGCGGCGUGCUUAACACAUGCAAGUCGAACGGAAAGGCCCUGCUUUUGUGGGGUGCUCGAGUGGCGAACGGGUGAGUAACACGUGAGUAACCUGCCCUUGACUUUGGGAUAACUUCAGGAAACUGGGGCUAAUACCGGAUAGGAGCUCCUGCUGCAUGGUGGGGGUUGGAAAGUUUCGGCGGUUGGGGAUGGACUCGCGGCUUAUCAGCUUGUUGGUGGGGUAGUGGCUUACCAAGGCUUUGACGGGUAGCCGGCCUGAGAGGGUGACCGGCCACAUGGGGACUGGGAUACGGCCCAGACUCCUACGGGGGGAAGGGGGGGGGAAUAUUGCAAAAGGGGGGGAAGCCUGAUGCGGCAACGCCGGGGGGGGGGUGGGGGCCUUCGGGUUGUAACCCGUUUUCGCCUGGGACGAAGGGGGAGUGACGGUAAUGGGAAAAGAAGCACCGGCUAACUACGU